UCAAGGGUGAAUGGCUCCAUACCGGCGAUGCAGGAUAUCUUGAUGAAAACGGAUACCUUUAUAUCCACGAUCGUAUCAAGGACAUGAUUGUCUCCGGCGGAGAGAACAUCUAUCCCGCGGAAAUCGAGAGUGUCUUNNNNNNNNNUGUCGCCGAUAUCGCGGUCAUCGGCGUACCGGAUGAGCGGUGGGGCGAAGCCGUCAAGGCU
rnacentral:misc_RNA from 1 species